rnacentral:misc_RNA from 1 species
AAGUCGUAACAAGGUUUCCGUAGGUGAACCUGCGGAAGGAUCAUUAACACGUAUCCAACGUUAAACAACCCCGUGAACCUUCAGCCUGCUCUCGUAGCCCACGCGGCAACAGCAAUCCCGGUAAAUCAGUUUUGAUUCGGGACCUCUGUUACGAUGUGAGAAGUUACAGUUACGAUCAGUCAGUGGCAUGGCGUCCCCAAGCAGAAUCCAGAGAAUGAAAGGAUCACUGGCUGCGCAAGGAUAACGCCUCACGGUUGCUAGAGGUCGAUCACCGACCGGCAGACAUGCUUACCUCACCCCAUUACUAAUGACUAGCUUAGCGGUAACGCGCUGAGUAAAAAAAACCGAACAACUGUUAACAAUGGAUAUCUUGGUUCUC